ensembl:misc_RNA Metazoa_SRP Metazoan signal recognition particle RNA
GCCAGGUGUGGUGGCUCACACCUGUAAUCCCAGCACUUUGGGAGGCUGAGGCAGGCAGAUCGCCUGAGGUCAGGAGUUCGAGACCAGCCUGGCCAACAUGGAGAAACCUCGUCUCUACUGAAAGUACAAUCGUCUCUACUAAAAAUACAGGUGACUGCCACCAUGCCCGGCUAAUUUUUGUAUUUUUAGUAGAGGUGGGGUUUUACCAUGUUGGCCAGGCUGGUCUCAAACUCCUGACCUCAAAUGAUCCACCCACCUCG